AUUGAACGCUGGCGGCAUGCCUUACACAUGCAAGUCGAACGGCAGCACAGGUGCUUGCACCUGGUGGCGAGUGGCGAACGGGUGAGUAAUACAUCGGAACAUGUCCUGUAGUGGGGGAUAGCCCGGCGAAAGCCGGAUUAAUACCGCAUACGAUCCACGGAUGAAAGCGGGGGACCUUCGGGCCUCGCGCUAUAGGGUUGGCCGAUGGCUGAUUAGCUAGUUGGUGGGGUAAAGGCCUACCAAGGCGACGAUCAGUAGCUGGUCUGAGAGGACGACCAGCCACACUGGGACUGAGACACGGCCCAGACUCCUACGGGAGGCAGCAGUGGGGAAUUUUGGACAAUGGGCGAAAGCCUGAUCCAGCAAUGCCGCGUGUGUGAAGAAGGCCUUCGGGUUGUAAAGCACUUUUGUCCGGAAAGAAAUCCUUGACUCUAAUACAGUCGGGGGAUGACGGUACCGGAAGAAUAAGCACCGGCUAACUACGUG
rnacentral:rRNA from 1 species